rnacentral:tRNA from 1 species
GCCGGCGUGGCGGAAUUGGCAGACGCGCUGGACUCAAAAUCCAGUGUUGGCAACAACGUAUCGGUUCGACCCCGAUCGCCGGUACCA